UACGGAGGGUGCAAGCGUUGCUCGGAAUCAUUGGGCGUAAAGCGUACGCAGGCUGUUCGUUAAGUCGGGUGUGAAAGCCCGGGGCUCAACCCCGGAACUGCGCCCGAAACUGGCGAGCUUGAGUGCGGGAGAGGGAAGCGGAAUUCCAGGUGUAGCGGUGAAAUGCGCAGAUAUCAGGAAGAACACCCGUGGCGAAGGCGGCUCUCUGGGACGGUACUGACGCUGAGACGCGAAAGCGUGGGGAGCAAACAGG
rnacentral:rRNA from 1 species